GAAAGUUUAGUUUUAUAAAUAUAAAAUUUGCAAUUUUAAGUCUUAUGCUUUUA
rnacentral:tRNA from 1 species